rnacentral:rRNA from 1 species
UACGGGGGGAGCAAGCGUUGUUCGGAUUUACUGGGCGUAAAGGGCGCGUAGGCGGCCAGCACAAGUCAGUUGUGAAAUCUCCGGGCUUAACUCGGAAAGGUCAACUGAUACUGUGCGACUAGAGUGCAGAAGGGGCAACUGGAAUUCUCGGUGUAGCGGUGAAAUUCGUAGAUAUCAAGCGGAACACCGGUGGCGAAGGCGGCCUUCUGGACAGUGACUGACGCUGAGAUGCGAAAGCGUGGGGAGCAAACAGG